rnacentral:snRNA from 1 species
AUCACAGCGUUCACUUCAUAGCACACCAAUCCUCCGCCUUUUACUAAAGGUUGCUGUGAAUGGGACGCAUCAAUGUGACUCACACAAGUUUUAUGGAGCUCUGGGCUCC